GUUUUGGGGGUGAUGGUGGCAAGAGAAUGGCCAUUUUUAACAGAAAGAGGAUGCAGAUCUCAUUUUUAUUUGGAGGAUGCAGAUCACAUUUUUCUGUCUGUUCACAUCACAGGUAUGGACUAACAACACUCUAUGUGGCCUAAAAACCAACCAAAUCAAGUUUCUAUCAAGGCAGAAGAGGCAGGACAGCCAAGGAAUUGAGCAUAAAGGACACUCUACUGUGAGAGCUAGCCUUGAUUUGACAUGUGUCAGGAAACAUACGACCUCAAACAAUCUUCAUACACAAUGAAGAGAUAUAAGAAGAUUUGGUAAUCCAGGAAGUCUCGAAAGUUCUUCAGAAAUGUUUAACCUAUUUCAAAAAUUUUCAUUACUCUGCGCACACUAUUCCUCAUUACAGAAAGUGCUCAAUAAACUUCUGUAUGCUCCUA